AUCAGGUUAGUUUACUAAAAACGUCAGGAUGUGGGCUUGAAGAAGUAAGAUGUAUCUUUCACUUGAUA
rnacentral:tRNA from 1 species